UUAAGCGACUAAGCGUACACGGUGGAUGCCCUGGCAGUCAGAGGCGAUGAAGGACGUGCUAAUCUGCGAAAAGCGUCGGUAAGGUGAUAUGAACCGUUACAGCCGGCGAUGUCCGAAUGGGGAAACCCAGUGUGAUUCGUCACACUAUCGUUAACUGAAUACAUAGGUUAACGAGGCGAACCGGGGGAACUGAAACAUCUAAGUACCCCGAGGAAAAGAAAUCAACCGAGAUUCCCCCAGUAGCGGCGAGCGAACGGGGAGCAGCCCAGAGUCUGAAUCAGCUUGUGUGUUAGUGGAACGGUCUGGAAAGUCCGACGGUACAGGGUGAUAGUCCCGUACACCAAAAUGCACAGGUUGUGAACUCGAAGAGUAGGGCGGGACACGUGGUAUCCUGUCUGAAUAUGGGGGGACCAUCCUCCAAGGCUAAAUACUCCUGACUGACCGAUAGUGAACCAGUACCGUGAGGGAAAGGCGAAAAGAACCCCGGCGAGGGGAGUGAAAAAGAACCUGAAACCGUGUACGUACAAGCAGUGGGAGCACCUUCGGGUGUGACUGCGUACCUUUUGUAUAAUGGGUCAGCGACUUAUAUUCUGUAGCAAGGUUAACCGUAUAGGGGAGCCGCAGGGAAACCGAGUCUUAACUGGGCGUUAAGUUGCAGGGUAUAGACCCGAAACCCGGUGAUCUAGCCAUGGGCAGGUUGAAGGUUGGGUAACACUAACUGGAGGACCGAACCGACUAAUGUUGAAAAAUUAGCGGAUGACUUGUGGCUGGGGGUGAAAGGCCAAUCAAACCGGGAGAUAGCUGGUUCUCCCCGAAAGCUAUUUAGGUAGCGCCUCGUGAAUUCAUCUUCGGGGGUAGAGCACUGUUUCGGCUAGGGGGUCAUCCCGACUUACCAACCCGAUGCAAACUACGAAUACCGAAGAAUGUUAUCACGGGAGACACACGGCGGGUGCUAACGUCCGUCGUGAAGAGGGAAACAACCCAGACCGCCAGCUAAGGUCCCAAAGUCACAGUUAAGUGGGAAACGAUGUGGGAAGGCACAGACAGCCAGGAUGUUGGCUUAGAAGCAGCCAUCAUUUAAAGAAAGCGUAAUAGCUCACUGGUCGAGUCGGCCUGCGCGGAAGAUGUAACGGGGCUAAACUGUGCACCGAAGCUGCGGCAGCGACACUUAGGUGUUGUUGGGUAGGGGAGCGUUCUGUAAGCCUGCGAAGGUGGCCUGUGAGGGUUGCUGGAGGUAUCAGAAGUGCGAAUGCUGACAUAAGUAACGAUAAUGCGGGUGAAAAGCCCGCACGCCGGAAGACCAAGGGUUCCUGUCCAACGUUAAUCGGGGCAGGGUGAGUCGACCCCUAAGGCGAGGCCGAAAGGCGUAGUCGAUGGGAAACAGGUUAAUAUUCCUGUACUUGGUGUUACUGCGAAGGGGGGACGGAGAAGGCUAUGUUAGCCGGGCGACGGUUGUCCCGGUUUAAGCAUGUAGGCGGAGGUUCCAGGUAAAUCCGGUACCUUUUAACGCUGAGGUGUGAUGACGAGGCACUACGGUGCUGAAGUAACAAAUGCCCUGCUUCCAGGAAAAGCCUCUAAGCAUCAGGUAACAUUGAAUCGUACCCCAAACCGACACAGGUGGUCAGGUAGAGAAUACCAAGGCGCUUGAGAGAACUCGGGUGAAGGAACUAGGCAAAAUGGUGCCGUAACUUCGGGAGAAGGCACGCUGAUAUGUAGGUGAAGCCCCUGCGGGUGGAGCUGAAAUCAGUCGAAGAUACCAGCUGGCUGCAACUGUUUAUUAAAAACACAGCACUGUGCAAACACGAAAGUGGACGUAUACGGUGUGACGCCUGCCCGGUGCCGGAAGGUUAAUUGAUGGGGUUAUCCGUAAGGAGAAGCUCUUGAUCGAAGCCCCGGUAAACGGCGGCCGUAACUAUAACGGUCCUAAGGUAGCGAAAUUCCUUGUCGGGUAAGUUCCGACCUGCACGAAUGGCGUAAUGAUGGCCAGGCUGUCUCCACCCGAGACUCAGUGAAAUUGAACUCGCUGUGAAGAUGCAGUGUACCCGCGGCAAGACGGAAAGACCCCGUGAACCUUUACUAUAGCUUGACACUGAACAUUGAGCCUUGAUGUGUAGGAUAGGUGGGAGGCUUUGAAGCGUGGACGCCAGUCUGCGUGGAGCCAACCUUGAAAUACCACCCUUUAAUGUUUGAUGUUCUAACGUUGGCCCCUGACCGGGGUUGCGGACAGUGUCUGGUGGGUAGUUUGACUGGGGCGGUCUCCUCCCAAAGAGUAACGGAGGAGCACGAAGGUUAGCUAAUCCUGGUCGGACAUCAGGAGGUUAGUGCAAUGGCAUAAGCUAGCUUGACUGCGAGCGUGACGGCGCGAGCAGGUGCGAAAGCAGGUCAUAGUGAUCCGGUGGUUCUGAAUGGAAGGGCCAUCGCUCAACGGAUAAAAGGUACUCCGGGGAUAACAGGCUGAUACCGCCCAAGAGUUCAUAUCGACGGCGGUGUUUGGCACCUCGAUGUCGGCUCAUCACAUCCUGGGGCUGAAGUAGGUCCCAAGGGUAUGGCUGUUCGCCAUUUAAAGUGGUACGCGAGCUGGGUUUAGAACGUCGUGAGACAGUUCGGUCCCUAUCUGCCGUGGGCGCUGGAGAAUUGAGGGGGGCUGCUCCUAGUACGAGAGGACCGGAGUGGACGCAUCACUGGUGUUCGGGUUGUCAUGCCAAUGGCAUUGCCCGGUAGCUAAAUGCGGAAGAGAUAAGUGCUGAAAGCAUCUAAGCACGAAACUUGCCCCGAGAUGAGUUCUCCCUGAGACUUUAAGUCUCCUGAAGGAACGUUAAAGACGAUGACGUUGAUAGGUCGGGUGUGUAAGCGUAGCGAUACGUUGAGCUAACCGAUACUAAUGAACCGUGAGGCUUAACCUU
rnacentral:rRNA from 1 species